rnacentral:lncRNA from 1 species
GUCUCACCCUGUUGCCCAGGCUGGAAUGCAGUGGCACCAUCCUGGCUCACCACAACCUCCACCUACUGGGUUCAAGCGAUUCUCCUGCCCCAGCCUUCCAAGUAGCUGGGACUACAGGUGUUUCUGUAUUUUUAGUAAAGAUGGGGUUUCGCCAUGUUGGCCAGGGUGGUCUCGAACUCCUGACCUCAGGUAAUCCACCUGCCUUGGCCUCCCAAACUGCUGGGAUUACAGGUGUGAGCCACCACACCUGGCCAGAACUCUACUCUUCAGGAACUUAGUGCAUCAGGUACUCAACAUUUCCUCCUAAGCCAUACUGGGCUGCCACUGUUCUUCAUAUAUCAGGUUCAAGCUGAUGGAUCCAAGCCAAAGGACUCCAUAUUCUCCAAAGCCUAUAAGCAGAAUGCUGGUGUGGUGUGGGGGGGGAAGAAGUUCCAUUGUGUCCCUACUGAAGGGACACAGAAGUACCAAAAGGGUCACUGAACUGCCAGGUACCAAGUGGUACCAGGUGCCACGAGGCUGCCAAAGGCAGAGAUGAGCCAAGCCAUCAACUUCAGCUGAGGUUGAGACAUGGCAUCCAUAAAUGCCAAACAGGACCAUACUCUAUGCAGAGAAUAAGGAUCAGAAAAUCAAGUGCAAAACGGGAAGUCUCCCUAGAACCCACAUGUGCUGAUUCAAGACACCCUUAUUCUCAAGCCACAGUGUUACCUAUUCCCUUGCCCCGAACACCCAGAUACCAUUUUGGUGAGGAACAGGAGAAAGGAAAGGGAAUACAAUGUAAAAGGACUGUUUGAAUCAGAAGAGAUUGACAUAUUGAUAUUUGUCCAGUUCCAUGGUUUCUAC